AGAGAAUCGAAGCUUAGAGAGAGAGAGCGUGAAACCUAGAAAGAGUCCUCUUUUCCCUCCACCCAACCACCCACUGUCGGAGGGCCGUCAUAGUGCCGCCGGAGUGUCGUCGUUCCUAGAGAGAGUGUCGCUUCCUCCCACCUAACCAUUUUCGUUGUCCGCCGGAGUGCCGCCUGAGGAAGUAUUGUUCAUUCUGGUGACCGGCGUUGUUCAAAGCUUUGAUUGCAACGGCCACCAAAAAGGACGCGUUUUUUCCGUUCCGCAGUCGUAUCAGUGUUUGUGCGUCUUCCUCCCACCCAACCAUUUUCGUGUCUCUUCCCAGAAGCGUCACUUUCCGUUGUCAAAAUUUGUAGUCCGCUGGAGUGUCGCUGGCCGAGAGGAAAAAAGAGAGGUACAAGCAGGUUCGUAAAAGACCAAUGAAUAAGAAAGAAUUAGCAAAAAAAUGAGGAAGACAUUAUAGAAACAUAUUCCAAUUCUAUAACCAUGCACGAGACUAAACUAAAGACUUCCACAAUACAAGUAGUAGAAAUGAAGUUUCUUGCUCAGCGAAGGGAUCUUCAGGUUUAAUUUUCCUAUAAAUCUAAUAAUAUAUAAUAUUUUAUAUUUCUAGAUAAGCCACACUCAUACUUAUAAUUUUAUGUUAUUAUUCUUUUGUUGGUGUUUUGUUUAAGGGCUAGAAAUAUGAAAUGAAGAAAUGCUUAUUGUAUUUUAAGUUAGAAUUAGCGCCACCAAUUAAAACUUUAACUUGUCAAAUAUCAGGUGUGAAUUUGACAUCGUUAUGCAUGUUUAGGUGUUUGCAGGAUGGGAUCAAAAAAGCUCUUUUCUCUAUAACACAUGAUUAUAAUAUUACUCAUCCUGGGACUUGUGUCAUGAUUCUAAUUCUAUAGUUUUUUAAACAUAUAUGGGAUUUGAUCAAAACAAACAGUUGGGUUCACACCUCGUGGCUUAGUUGAGUUGGAUUGACACCAUGUAGGUUGGUAGGUUUAAACUCCAAACUAAGUUGUCAAAUAUUUUUAAUUUUGGCGAUACCUAACUGUCUAGGCUUCAUAUUUGAAGUGGAAUGCGGUAUAGGAUGGACUUAAAAGAAUCUUAUUGAUUAAUUACCAAUUGCUAGUUUUAAAAUUUCAACUAUAAAACAAGAAAAUGUUCCCUUUUUAUUCUAUUUUGGAAAAAAUAUGUAAACCUAAAAUGAUUCAUCUAAAGUUACUCUAAGGUGAGUAUAUCGAAUCUUUUUUUCUUUAAUGAUCUAACCUGCCUAUUGCAAUGACACUUUUUUUUCUGUGGUUGUUAUGAGGAAAAGAUACCGGAUAUUGAAAAGUGCUUAGAUGUUGGGAGAAAGCCUAAAAUUAAGAUAAUGUCAAGAGUUUGGGGAUAAAGCGUUUUGUGGAAGUGAAGAUCCUUGUUAAAUUAUGCCGGUUCAACAUUAUCACCAAACCUCGAGGUUUAAACGUCAGGAUGAAAUGAAGCAAAGCACAAUGUAUGAUCGAAUGAAGGUUGUACCUCGAAGAUGGUUCAAGAUCAAGAGUCGAGCGAAUAGAACUUCAUUUAUUGUAGAUGAUAGAAGAAAAGAAUGAAUAGUUGAAUAAUUUGUAGUGAUUUUUAAAUGUUAAGAAUUUUAGUUGACGAUGUUCAAGUAGAAUAGGAAAUGUAAAUGUUUGUUAAUAUAUGUUCAAGUAG